AGCGAACGCUGGCGGCAGGCCUAACACAUGCAAGUCGAACGAAGUCUUCGGACUUAGUGGCGGCCGGGUGAGUAACACGUGGGAACGUGCCUUUAGGUUUGGAAUAACUCAGGGAAACUUGUGCUAAUACCUAAUGUGCCCUCCGGGGGAAAGAUUUCUCGCCUUUAGAACGGCCCGCGUAUGAUUAGCUAGUUUGUAGGGUAAAGGCUCACAAAGGAGUCGCUCAGUAGGUGGUUAGAGAGGAUGAUCAGCCACAUUGGGGCUGAGACACGGGCCAAACUCCUACGGAAGGUAGCAGUGGGGAAUCUUGCGCAAUGGGCGAAAGGCUGACGCAGCCAUGCCGCAUGAAUGAUGAAGGUAUUAGGAUUGUAAAAUUCUUUAACCGGGGACGAUAAUGACGGUACCCGGAGAAGAAGCCCCGGCUAACUUCGUGCCAGCCGCCGCCGUAAUAC
rnacentral:rRNA from 1 species